UACGUAGGGGGCAAGCGUUGUCCGGAUUUAUUGGGCGUAAAAGGCUUGUAGGUGGCCACGCCAAGUCGGAUGUGAAAUCUCCCGGCUCAACUGGGAGGGGUCAUUCGAUACUGGCGGGCUCGAGGCCGGUAGGGGGAAGUGGAAUUCCCGGUGUAGUGGUGGAAUGCGUAGAUAUCGGGAGGAACACCAGUGGCGAAGGCGGCUCACUGGACCGGUAUUGACGCUGAGGUGCGAAAGCGUGGGGAGCAAACAGG
rnacentral:rRNA from 1 species